AUAAAGUUUUGGUCCUAAACUUGCCGUUGUUUUUAAUCAAAAUUACACAUGCAAGCCUCCACACCCCAGUGAGAAUGCCCAUAUAACCCUAAACAGCCAAACGGAGCAGGCAUCAGGAUCAACACCAUUAGCCAAUGACGCCUUGCUAUGCCACACCCCCACGGGCCUACAGCAGUGAUUAACAUUAAGCUAUGAGCGAAAGCUCGACUUAGUUAUGAUUACCCCAGGUCGGUAAAUUUCGUGCCAGCCACCGCGGUUAUACGAAAGACCAAAAACAACGACCAUCGGCGUAAAGCGUGACCCAGAGCCGAGUCCCAAAAUUAAAGGGAAACCCUUACCCAGUCGUAAAACACUACUGUAAACAGGAACACCACCAACAAAGUGCCUUUAAACAAAGAGACUGCUUCACCUCACGAAAGCUAAGAAACAAACUGGGAUUAGAUACCCCACUAUGCUUAGCCGUAAACAUAGACAGUACAAACACAAUACUAUCCGCCAGAGAACUACAAGCGAAAAACUAGAAACUCCAAGGACUUGGCGGUGCUCCACAUCAACCUAGAGGAGCCUGUCCUAUAAUCGAUACUCCACGUUUUACCCCACCACCUUUUGCCACUCAGCCUAUAUACCGCCGUCGUCAGCCUACCUUAUGAAAGAAAAACAGUAAGCAAAACAGUUAACAACUAACACGUCAGGUCAAGGUGUAGCACAUAAGAUGGAAGAGAUGGGCUACAUUCUUUAUUAUAAAAAACACGAACGACACAGUGAAACCUGUGUCCGAAGGCGGAUUUAGCAGUAAGACAAACAAGAGAAGAAGUCUUAAGCCCGCUCUGGAGCGCGCACACACCGC
rnacentral:ncRNA from 1 species